rnacentral:lncRNA from 1 species
GCGCCCAGGUUUCCCGGCAGGUUCUCGGCGGCUCUUCUGGUGCGGCCGAAGGCUGUCCGAGGUAGGCUCCUCUCGGCUCUCCCAUGGAGGAGGCGGCGCUCACUGCAGUCUCGGAUGCACGAACUUCCCGCGGGACGUCGCCGGAGACGGUGGCUGUGUGCGCGCAGGAGCGAGCUGCCUGCGUGGGGGUCUGAGCGGGCACCGGGGUCGCGUCCCGGAGGGAGCCGAGUCGCCCGCCGGCCUGCGACGGCCCUAAGGGUGGAACUACUCUGCCGUGGUUAAAUACUUUAAAUGGGAAUAAAGGAUAGCGUUUCCAAGAAAAUGAGAAUGAAUAAAUCAUCUCUGUUUUUUAAAAGAAAGACCAUAUUAAACUUACAUGUUUGAGGAUUGCGUCACCUUGUCUCCUGUACAAGCAGUUUCUCUGUUCGGUGAUCAAUGUCACUCACAGGAACUUAAGUAACUAACGAAAUGAGCCUGGGGCGUGGAAAAUAUGAUUUUUAUAUUGGUCUGGGAUUGGCUAUGACCUCCAGCAUUUUCAUUGGAGGGAGUUUCAUUUUGAAAAAAAAAGGCCUUCUGCGACUUGCCAGGAAAGGCUCAAUGAGAGCAGGUCAAGGAGGCCAUGCAUAUCUUAAGGAAUGGUUGUGGUGGGCUGGACUGCUGUCAAGUAUGUAUAGAGAACAUUUCAAGAAAGCAUUAUAGCUAUAUGUUAAAUACUUUACAUAUGUUGUUACAGCAAAGUUUAGAGCAUUUUGUGUUUACAAGUUAAAUUCAAAAUAGAUUGAAACCUAUAAAAGUAGUUUAGUUAAUUGCUUAUUUAUUUCAAAUAAUAAGAUCUUUAUAAAAACUAAUCUGAUUAAAACAUUUUUGAUAUAUCUUUGCCUUUAAAAAUAAUUACCAGAUAAGUAGGUUAAAAGGUGUGUGUAUGUUGGGAAAGGGAGGAAUAGAGCACUUGCUUAACAUGUAAAACACCCAGAAUUUGAUUCCCUAGCACUUUAAAAAAGAAAAAAAUAUAUAAGAUGAAAGUUAGGGGGAAAAAAUCUGAUUUUUUUUUUCCCUCCAUUAUUUCUCAAGACUGUUCAUUUUUAUUUUGGUCACAAUCUUUAUGAAGGUAAGUGAAGGGGGCUGGAAAGAUGGCUCAGUAGUUAAGGACACAUGUUGCUCUUGUGGUUCUAUUCCCAGCACCCAUAUAAUUGUUCACAACCAUCCAUAGUCCCAGUUCUGGGAUAUCCAAUACCCUUUUUUAACCUCUUUGGGCACCAAGCAUGCUCAUAGUGUACAUACAUACAUUCAGGUAAAACUCUGAGACACAAAAUUAAUCUUUUAAUGGGACUGGAGAGAUAGCUUAGUGGUUAAGAACAUUGGCUGCUUUUCCAAAGGACCCAGGUUCAAAUCCUAGCAUCUACAUGACAGUUCACAACUGUCUGUAAUUUCAAUUCCAGGGUGUCUGACACCCUCAAACAGACAUACAUAGAGGCAUAAUACCAAUGUAAGUAAAUAAGACUUACUGAAAAAAAAAUUUUUAAUGUGAAAUAAAUUGUCCUUCAGACACCUGAGACAUAAGCUGUGCAGUGGUGUUACACACCUUUAUUUCAUCCCAGCACUGGGGGGACAGGUGGAUCUCUGUGAAUUUAAGGCCAGCCUGGUCUACAGAGUGUGUUCCAGGACAGCCAGGGCUACACAGAGAAACCCUGUC